UGACUAACCACUUCUGACCUACUGGGACAAA
rnacentral:piRNA from 1 species